AGGUUCGAGUCCUGGCUCAGGAUGAACGCUGGCGGCGUGCUUAACACAUGCAAGUCGAGCGAAGCGAUUCAAAUGAGGUUUCGGAUGGAUUUGAAUUGACUUAGCGGCGGACGGGUGAGUAACGCGUGGGUAACCUGCCUCAUACAGGGGGAUAACAGUUGGAAACGGCUGCUAAUACCGCAUAAGCACACAGUGCCGCAUGGUACGGUGUGAAAAACUCCGGUGGUAUGAGAUGGACCCGCGUCUGAUUAGGUAGUUGGUGAGGUAACGGCCCACCAAGCCGACGAUCAGUAGCCGACCUGAGAGGGUGACCGGCCACAUUGGGACUGAGACACGGCCCAAACUCCUACGGGAGGCAGCAGUGGGGAAUAUUGGACAAUGGGGGAAACCCUGAUCCAGCCGACGCCGCGUGAGUGAAGAAGUAUUUCGGUAUGUAAAGCUCUAUCAGCAGGGAAGAAAAUGACGGUACCUGACUAAGAAGCCCCGGCUAACUACGUGCCAGCAGCUGC
rnacentral:rRNA from 1 species